GCGCCGGUAGCCCAAUUGGAUAGAGCGCCAGACUACGGAUCUGGAGGCUGGGGGUUCGACUCCUCCCCGGCGCG
rnacentral:tRNA from 1 species